GUGAAUCAUCAAAUCUUUGAACGCAAAUUGCACUCUCUUCGGAUAGUAUGCCUGUUUGAGGGUCAGCCUAAAAAAAAUCGACAUCGUUGCUGUUUCUCGUUGGCGUUCGUCGGAAAUUGAGUGAUCUUAAAUCUUUGGUUUAAGCGACUUAAAAUGUUCUUUACGAUUCCAUGAACGUAUCCAAGAUUUAUUUCUUUACAUGUUUAAGGUAUCGAUUUGAUGAGUCGUGAUAUUCAUAUCUGCGCAUGUCCAUAAUUUUUCGUUAACUAA
rnacentral:misc_RNA from 1 species